rfam:Streptococcus ratti FA-1 = DSM 20564 Contig229, whole genome shotgun sequence.
AGAUUGCUGUGGCAUACGAAUUCACAUCCAAGUGUUGACCGACUAUUUUUUUGUAUUAUCGGGAAACAGAAGUCAUUCUCCAGUAUGCAGGCCGUUUCACGCGGAAGCAACUAAAGGAGAAGCGAGUUGCCCACCUGCUUUAAGUGUGCGGGUUCAAUACAAAACGUGAAUCAUCGGUGCCAAUACAGCAUUUUG